rnacentral:rRNA from 1 species
GACGAACGCUGGCGGCGUGCCUAAUACAUGCAAGUAGAACGCACAGUUUAUACCGUAGCUUGCUACACCAUAGACUGUGAGUUGCGAACGGGUGAGUAACGCGUAGGUAACCUGCCUGGUAGCGGGUGAUAACUAUUGGAAACGAUAGCUAAUACCGCAUAAUAUUAAUUAUUGCAUGAUAAUUAAUUGAAAGGUGCAAUUGCACCACUACCAGAUGGACCUGCGUUGUAUUAGCUAGUAGGUGAGGUAACGGCUCACCUAGGCGACGAUACAUAGCCGACCUGAGAGGGUGAUCGGCCACACUGGGACUGAGACACGGCCCAGAAUCCUAAGGGAGGCAGCAGUAGGGAAUCUUCGGCAAUGGACGAAAGGCUGACCGAGCAACGCCGCGGGAGUGAAGAAGGGUUUCGGAUCGGAAAGCUCUGUUGUAAGAGAAGAACGGGUGUGAGAGUGGAAAGUUCACACUGUGACGGUAUCUUACCAGAAAGGGACGGCUAACUACGUG